AACGAACGCUGGCGGCAUGCCUAACACAUGCAAGUCGAACGAGACCACCGGGUCUAGUGGCCCCCGGCUUCGUCACCCGUCGGAAUCUGCCCUUUGCGUCAGCCUAACUGUUAGACAUGACUGCUAACACCGGAUGAUGUCGAAAGACCAAAGAUUUAUCGGGCAAGAAUGAGCCAGCGUAGGAUAAGGUAGUUGGUGUGCUAAAGGCUUACCAAGCCGACCAUCCUUAGCUUGUCUGAGAGGAUGAGUAGCCACUCUGAGACUGAGAAGCGGCCCAGACUCCUACGGGAGGCAGCAGUGCGGGAUAUUGGAACAUCGGCGAAAGCCUGAACCAGUUAUGCCGCGUGAGCGAUGAAGUCCUUAGGGUUGUAAAGCGCAAGUAACAGGGAAGAUAAUGACAGUACCUGGAGAGUAAGCCCCGGCUAACUCCGUG
rnacentral:rRNA from 1 species